rfam:Aedes albopictus isolate Foshan contig144536, whole genome shotgun sequence.
UGUUCUGUGGCUUAUUUGGCUGAAGCACCGGUCUAGCGAAUAUGAAGUCGUAGGUUCGAAUCCUACCAGAACGU